UAUAUUUAAAAAACUGAUUUGAUUAGAGCUUUUCACUAAUCUUUUGCUAAUGUUUAACUCAAUCAGAAACUGACUUCUGAUUAGGUGAUACCUGUGUAAGCACUGUUUUCCAGGAGCUUUCCAAAAAUUUGUUUUAAUUUACAUCUGAAAACUGACUCACCACAGGCCUGAGCAUCUCCACUACCAUCCAAGAAAGAAGGCAGGAGCAAAAUGCCUGUAAGAUUUGAAUUUUCCAAUGAGUAGUACGGAAGAGACCACAAAUAAAUGUGGCUUGUGCUCAUGCCAGAACUGUGGCCAGCAAGGCAAGUGCAGGGAUAGGUGCUUGAUAAAUGUGCUAUGAUCAGAACCAGGGACAGGAGAAUGUAGGUAGGAUUAUGUUGAUCUAUGAACACUACAGUGGUGUCUGAGCACGUGGAGGAGAGACAAGAAAGAAGGAAACAGCUGGUGACAUAAUGAUCGAUAGACUUGCCGAUCCUUUCAGUAGACAGAAGAGAGUCAUAAUGUGUCUAUGGCUAGCUGGACUAGUUAACAUCUCAUGCUUGAGGCCUGGUAUUCUUGCCCCGGGCUACCUUUCAAUCUCCAUCUCCAUCCCUGCUUAUAAUACUUUGUAUGUAGAUUAUUUGGGUCCGUGUUUUCUUCUCUCCGAUCCUUAAAUUUUAUUUAUUUAUCCUUCUCAGAUUACUCAAAUAUAAAGUCAGUGAACUGGGAGUGGAGAGUGGAAAGUAUUUAUUAUCUCUCCCAAGUGCUAGUACACAAUGCUGAUAUGCAUCUUAAAAUAUCGAAUAAACUGAUAAAGUGCUCAUAUGCCGCUUCUGAGGGAUGCAGUAAGCCAAAUUCGAACAGUUCUAAAAACAGAGCUGCCAAGUUCCAUGCACAAGCCAAAAGGGAGAUUUCUACAGAGCUGAAAAGAGCUUAACUGUAGAUUACUGGCAUGAUGUUUUUGGCCCUUAGUAUCAAGACUUGCACUUAUUAAUAUGAAGAACACCAGAAGGAAGCACGCUGUAAAUCAUGAAAGCUCACGAGUGGGAGUCUAGUCCUAAGUUGUCCUAUCUCUUUCACUGUCUUGGUGUAGGACCUUUUGUAUAUUAGUUAACAAUGAAAUAUUUAACAGGUUUAUAGCCUAGUUUUCCCAUUUGAAAUGCUUACCUGGAACUUUUGGGAAAUUAACAAAGUCAUGUUUUUAAAACAAGAAAUAUCUUGUAAUACUCACUUAUACAAAGACAUGUAAAUUAUUUGCUUUGUAUGAUAUGUAUUUUAACUAGUAGAGUUAUCAUCUAACUCUAACAUCAAGCCAUGGUGUUUCUAGAAUUAGAAAAACAAGAGGAAACAGGCUAACCCUAAGCAUGAAAUAGCCUAACUACUGCAUUAAAAUAUGCCAAAUUAUUGGAAAUAGUUUUUAGUAGUAUUCAUGAUACUGCUCAGUUUCAGAUGAAGGGACGGACUCAGAUGUUAAGUGACCUGCUAAAGACCACACAGUUGCCUGGUAAGAGGAAAAACAAGACUCAAGUUCAGAUGGUUAGGUCCAUAAACGUAUGUGUUGUACAAACUUCCUCUCAGGGGAGAAAGUGAUUCUAUUUUUCUAUGUUUUAAAAAUCUUAUGUUUAUUUUCCAAAUAAGUGUUUUUCAGUAGAAGAAUUCUGUUCCAAAAUGGGCUACCCACCACACUAGUGGAUUCAAUUACUUGGCACACUAGAAUGCAUGAAAUUCAUUUUUGCUACAAAUUAAUAAACAUUAUGUGAGAAGUUUUUCAUGGGAUUUAUUGCUUGUUUGAUUAAUACAGGUUUUUUGAGCUGAGAUUUCAGCAUCUAGAAGCUUAUGUAUGACUUAUGUUUUAUAUAUUGCCAGCACCUUCCACAGAGUCUGGCAUGUAGAAGGUGCUCAACAGAUGUUAAGUCAAUUCUGUUAUAUUCCCAGUUGUCAAAGGCUUAAGAAGAAUGGCUUGGGAUAUGGUAUAUUUUUCUUCCAAAAGGGAAAAAAGAUUAAAAAAAUCUGCAUAUGUUCCAAUCCUUUGGCCAUUCCAUAAGUAAUUUUUACUUUUCUGUGAUUUAUAUUUCCUUAAAUGUAAAAAAAUUAUGAUUUUAAGAGCGGACAGGCCUGUGACUAUGGUGGAAAUGACUCUGUGUGCCUUCCCAGGCUAGGUCAUUAACGGAUAUAGCUUCUACCUGGCUCUUUCUUUCUCUCUGGAUGCUUGACUUUGAAACUCAGCCACUAUGCUAUGAGGAAGACAAAACUUGCCCGUGCAAAGAGAUCAACAUGGAGAAGAACCAAGGUCUUCAGCUGACAGUCAGACAUAUGAGUGAGAACCCUCAGAUCGGUAUAGCACCAAGCCUUUGAAUUCCCUCCCCUCACCAUCAGCUAAUGCCAAAGAGAGCAGAGGUGGACAAUAUUUAUGACCACAAAACUCCACAUUUUGGAAAAGAGCUAGUGAUGAUCUCUGAAUACCCUUUUACCAUUUCCCCAUCUUUAAUUGUUCUUUUGCUUCAACGACUGAAACAACCCCUUAUUUGAAAUGUAUCCAGACAAAGAGGAAACAAAGCCUCAAUAAUAAAGAUAAACAGGCACAGUGUUUUCUGUGAUGGUCUGUUUGGCUCAAAUGAAGAUUGAUCACCUCUAAGUUAACAGGGGUGGAAGCGGGGUGCCAAGUUCUUGACAACCUAUCUGCAAAACCAGUUUAUUCUCUUUAGUUUAUGCAGUCCCCUUUAAAAUAUCUGGUAAAUAUGUAAUUUCUUGAUUGCAAAUGUCAACUUCACAUUUAAGUUAGUUAUUUCCUAAAACAAUGCAAGGGCUAGGAAUGAAGCAAACCAGUCUGUGUUGGACUACAAAGCCAUCAACAUUUCCAAAAAUUGUUUUUGCAGGCUCAUAAUUAUUACCAUAAUAAAGCAUCUAAAAAGUGAUUAGGCAAUAGCAAAGUGAAACUUAUUCUUUCAAAAACAACACACAUGUACGCAUGAAUCAAGAAGUUAUAGAAACAUGUUGAGUUUUAUUAAAAUGCCAAAUUUAGAAACUGCCAAAAAAGAGAACAAUCUAUUGACCCAAAUCUAAUAGGGUUGCAUAUCUCAACUUGUCUUUGUAAAGGAUAAAUUAGAAUGAUGCAUAAUAAUUUUCCUUUUGGCAUUUACAUCAGUAAUAACUAGGAACUAUACAGGCUUUCACCCUGAGUUACAGUUGGUCAUUCCCUCCUCUCUAAAGUUACAUACACUUCAGCUUAUAUACAUCUUUGAAAGACACUUUAUUCAGAGCCAGAUUUAACUACAGCAAAAUUAUAUUCACAGAAGAUGAAAAAUUACAUACACACUUGCUAAAACUAGAACAGACCACACCUAGGGGACAAUACCCAGGCAUGUUAACGGAGUUUAAAAUGCCAAGGAAAUUACACCACAAUUCUGCCCAGUAUACUACAGGCUGUCAAACCGAAAUGCUAUGCCAGCUAGGAGUGCAGCAACUCCCAUCCUCUGGCCCUAUUUAAUUAGGAAGCUUCAGCAGAGCGAAGCCUGCCAAGCGUUCGCCGUCAGAAUCUGAAGGAACCCGAGCGAGCAAGAAGAGUGCCUGACCCACUCCACAGAAGCCUGUCCAGAAAUGGAGGAGUCAGCGCCCACUGAAGUCGGUUCCGCCCUCGGCUCGCCUACAUGGAGCCUGACCAGCCUCAGUCAUGCCCACUCCGGCCUGGGAGACCCGCAAAGUGUUCUUUUUCUCAACUCCCCUGUACUACCUUGAAGCUUAGGGAAGCAAAGAGAGGGGCAUAUCUGGACUGCAAAACCAAUGUCUUUUGCCGCCUAGGAGAGAAGGGAAUGAGAGAGAGAGAGAGAUAGAUAGAUAGAGAGAGAGAGAGAGAGAGAGAGAGAGAGAGAGAGAGAGAGAGAGAAAUUCUAUUGAAACCCAGCUCCUCUAGAAUCUGUGUGACCUGGUCUUCAACGGGAGACCAGUGCGACCUCAUGGCACCUUUGCCAGGAAUCAGCGAUUCCCCUGCAGUCACCAUUUGAUUUAUUGCUUUCUCGCUCAUUCUUUCUCAUAAAGUUAUUUCUUCCUCAUCCUAGUAAGACUUUUUUCUUUAAUGAUGACAAAGCUUCUGUUUCAGUGUUUCCCCUAGGAUUGGUGCUCUUUCAAAACAGUGAACCCAGAAAACCAUCCCGUUUAAUAUUUCUCAAAAUCCUCGCAGCUCCAAUGUAAGCGCAAGCAUGCAAAGGUUUCCUGCUACACCUGCACUUUCUGCCCAUCCCAGAACCACCCCUCACCCCCGGGCCUGCAACAGUUCCCCUUGUUUCUCUGGAUAGAGGUGGGUGGUAUUAGGGGUCUAGGGCAGUAGGAGGUGAGGGGCUGAGGAGG
rnacentral:lncRNA from 1 species